AAGUCGUAACAAGGUAACCGUAGGUGAACCUGCGGUUGGAUCAUUAUUGAAAUCCAAAACAACUUGAGGCGCACGACGACCUUUGCAAAAAGACGUCUGCACUCAACACCCCAAAACCUUAGACUGCAGGACUUGUCCUGUGUGAACCUAAUCUGAUCUUUGCUUCGGCACCGACUUGGUCAUUCUCUGGAUGGCCUGUCUCUGCCUGCACUGGUCAUUACUUAACCUAGAACAAACAUUUGUUUAACUUGUUUCUUUUACGCAUCGCAAGAUGUACUACUAAAGAAAAACAACUUUUGACAAUGGAUCUCUAGGCUCUC
rnacentral:misc_RNA from 1 species